GGGAGGACGAGCGGGAGCGCGGAGUUGUUGGAAGAGCCCUCAGGAGCCGCCAGCCGGGCUCUCGAGUCGGGUGGGAGCGGUCGGCUGGGCCCGGCCCGAUUCCAUUUUGCCCAUGCUGGUGCUCUUCUUUGUGUAGCUGUGUAGCUUCCAGGCCAUACAGGUGCUUCAGAUGAAAGAAAUGGUAUCUGAUGCUUGGGGACAAGCAUGCGGUUUUGCAGCUCAAGAAGCCUUCUUACCAGCUUGCUCAUGUUGUGCUGUCCUGGUGUUGAAAGGAGAAGUUUUCAUGAUAGUCGCUUGGAGUGGUGAGAUUGCUCAUUUGCCUCCAAAGAGUAAGUGCUCGUCUGCUAUUCUGGCAGCCUGUGGCUCCGCCAUGGCCACAGAUCAUGACUAUAACAGGACUCGUCAGGAUUUUGGCUCCUCCUUUUCUGUUGCUUCCUCUCAGGCUUCCGUGGAGAGUCCUGCAGACAGUGUGCACACAGGUUUGUGUCCC
rnacentral:lncRNA from 1 species